GAUGAACGCUGGCGGCGUGCCUAAUACAUGCAAGUCGAGCGAACGGACGAGAAGCUUGCUUCUCUGAUGUUAGCGGCGGACGGGUGAGUAACAUGUGGAUAACCUACCUAUAAGACUGGGAUAACUUCGGGAAACCGGCGCUAAUACCGGAUAAUAUUUUGAACCGCAUGGUUCAAAAGUGGAAGACGGUCUUGCUGUCACUUAUAGAUGGAUCCCCGCUGCAUUAGCUAGUUGGUGAGGUAACGGCUUACCAAGGCAACGAUGCAUAGCCGACCUGAGAGGGUGGUCGGCCACACUGGAACUGAGACACGGUCCAGACUCCUACGGGAGGCAGCAGUAGGGAAUCUUCCGCGAUGGGCGAAAGCCUGACGGAGCGACGCCGCGUGAGUGAUGAAGGUCUUCGGAUCGUAAAACUCUGUUAUUAGGGAAGAACAUAUGUGUAAGUAACUGUGCACAUCUUGACGGUACCUAAUCAGAAAGCCACGGCUAACUACGUG
rnacentral:rRNA from 1 species